AAUCUUUCCUUCCACACAUGUGUGAUGAGCAUCCUGAGGCAAAGUACCAUUGAUCCUUGAAUCUCUCUUCAUCUCAUGUUGUAACCAUCAACAACGUCUCUUCUUCUUCAUGUUUCGCCAACUUUGCAUAAGUUUCUUAGUUCUUCUGCUUUUCUAGACAAUCACUAGAAUAGUGACCAUAGUUCUGAUAAUUGAAACACUGAAUGUGACUCUUGUCUGGCUUUUGACCACCACCUUUU
rnacentral:lncRNA from 1 species